AUGGUGUGUAUGAAGAAAGAAUUUGGAGGCUUGGGAAUCCCAAACCUCCAAGAUGUCAACUUGUGUUUACUAGGUUCCUGGGUGAAGAGAUACUAUGAGAGUGAAGGAAAACCAUGGAAAAUGAUCUUUGAUCACAAGUACAUGUCUGGUAAGAUUAAUAUUUUUGCUCCUAACCUAUCCCCCAGUGCCUCCAGAUUCUGGAAGGGGCUGAAAACCAUUAUCCAAGCACUAAAACUUGGUUAUAGGUGGAAAGUUGGGUCGGGUGAAAAAGUUAGGUUUUGGGAAGACACCUGGUUUGGUACCUCCCCACUGGCAGUGCAAUUCUGGCCUAUCUACUCAAUUUGUAAUGAACAAACCAAUAGUGUCAGGGAAGUUUGGGAUGGUACGCAACUUAGGCUUACUUUUAGAAGGAAUUUUGAUGAUAGACUCAUGGAACAAUGGUAUCAGUUAGUGGAGAUAACCAGUAGUCUGACCCUUACCAAUGAAACUGAUGCCCUUGUCUGGCAGUUAGAGAACAGGGGGGUUUACUCCACUAGCUCACUUUACCAUGUGAUUAAUUUUAGGGGGGUGCAACCAGUCUUUAUACCUUCGGUGUGGAAGCUAAAAAUUCCACCAAAAUCCAUGUCUUCCUGUGGCUCCUUGCCAACAACAAGCUAAUGACCAGGGAUAACCUCAGGAAAAGACAGAUUAUUAAGCCGCUUGAGUGUGUGUUCUGCUCUGAGGCUGAAACAUGCUCGCAUUUGUUUUUUGACUGUGUGGUCUCUAGACAGAUCUGGCCUCUGGUCUCAAAUCACUUCGGGGUGGAUACUGGAACUGAUUUCGAAUCAGUGGCCAGACUCUGGAUUGCCAACAAAAAGCACUCUGCUCUCAACACAACUAAUGUUGUUGUACUUUGGUGUAUUUGGAAAUAUAGGAACUCUAUGAUUUUCAAUAACACCAUGUGGACAUCCAUUAAACAGGUGAUGAGGCUGAUUCUAAAAACCAUCAAGAACUGGGUGAUCCUGUCCUCGGAUGGGGCAGCAGAAAGGCUGGAGGCCUUCACGACACACCUAGCGACCAAUCUGAGACAACCACUGAUGAUCGGUGGCUGA
rnacentral:rRNA from 1 species